UUUUUUCUCUCGCUAGUUCUGUUCGUCUCUCCGUCUCCGUCUCCUGCUCGUGAGCCCUGUUCGAAAGCUCAAUCUCGCACUCCCUCGCUCUCAGCUUCUUCGAUUCUAGUUAUCAAGAACGAUAUUAAGAAGAGAGGUGAUUUACGCCGCAAGAGUCCCGGAGAGAUGGAUGCCAAGGAAGAUCGCCGGACAUAGUCGUCAUUUUUUCCAUGUUUUAGUUCUUGCAGGGGCGUACAUGUAUUUUUUGGCUAUUUUGAUGUAUUUGGAAUGGAAUGAGACAGAAGGCUGUAAGAAUAAAAAAAAAAGGUUUUUUUCUUGGCAAAAAAAUUGGAUCAGAGCACUCUGAUCAGAGAUUUGAUAAA